AAACCGUGAAUGCACGCGGUUUUCUCGGCAAGUGCCAAGCGACCGACCGCCAAAUGACAUGGUCAACUUAUCGGUGAACGUAGAUAGUCUGUUGUUAACCAUGGUUUAGUCCGCGAUGCGCACGCUAAAUCGGCGAAGAGGAGGAAAGACAGGAGCCAACGGAGGCGGAGAAGGAAACAGGACCGGGCAGGAUAAUUUUACGCACGGCCUCAAAUCCGUCUUGGUUCAUCUCCUUUGUGACUCUUUCUUCUAUUCAACUUUUUCAAGGAAUCGAACCCUAAUUCCUUACCUGUCCCUAUCUGGAUCACAAUCCCUCUCCCUCUUCCGCUUCCUGGAGGCUUUAAAGUUUGCAUUAGAAUAGCCGAUUUCAGGCAUUGCGGGCUCCGCAUCGCUGGCGAGAUUCUGCGUGGUGCAGCUAUGAGCCGAAUAACUCUCCUAAUGACAGUAUGGGAUUGAAAUCUUCAGGUGGGAUUGCGACCCUCCAUCGAACCGGAGCUGCGAGUGGCGAUUGUGCCGGACUGGGGGAUUAACACGAUUAGGAAAAAAAAGUCAUCGCAUUCGUAUUCGAUCUCUUUCUUUGGCGGCGAUCGGAUGGUGGGGAUGCACUGAUUGGGCGGUGCGGAGCCAUGGAGGAGGAUGGGGGAAGCAAGGACGAUGGAUCUGGUGGCGGCCAAUCGGGAGGGGCGCAUGCUUCUGCUGCUUCUUCUGCUUGGACGCCUCUCAUCAGUGCUUUUCGUUCUUAUGAGGUCUCCCGUAUUUAUUCCACGUCUUCUUUUAAGUUGGGCAAUAUUGGAGCGACCGUCAGGAGGCCUUUUGUGGCAAGACUAACCAAAGAAAUAGCAGAAACUUUCCAAAUAUGUAACCCAGAUUUUAAAUUUUCAGAAAUAUUGAACCCCAAGCGCUUCCUUACCAAUCCAUCAGCUGGGGUAUUGAAUGAUGGUUUUGAUAACGAGGACAAUGAUCUAAUUUUGUAUGUGAACUAUAUUUUGAUCAAUGCGGGGUCAAAACAAAGGUACAUUGUCAAAGAUCUUCUUGGUCAGGGUACAUUUGGACAAGUUGCGAAGUGUUGGGUUCCUGAAACUGAUAAUUAUGUUGCUGUUAAGAUUAUUAAAAAUCAACCUGCUUAUUAUCAGCAGGCGCUUGCUGAGGUUUCUAUUUUGUCAAUGCUAAAUCAAAAAUUUAAUACUGAUGAGCGUCGUCACAUUGUACGCAUCCUUGAUUAUUUUGUUUAUCAGCAUCAUCUGUGCAUAUCUUUUGAGUUGCUUGGCGCAAAUCUCUAUGAACUGAUUAAAAUGAACCAAUUCAGAGGAUUUCCGCUGAACAUUGUCCGGCGGUUUUCAAUGCAGAUCCUCCAUGCAUUGGUGGUGAUAAAGGAUGCUGGCAUUAUACAUUGUGAUCUGAAGCCAGAAAAUAUACUUGUUGCCUCAAGUGCUGGGUCAGAUAUAAAAGUAAUUGAUUUUGGGUCUGCUUGCUUGGAAGGCCGAACUGUUUACUCAUAUAUUCAGAGCCGUUACUAUAGAUCCCCCGAAGUUCUUCUAGGUUAUCCAUAUACGGCUGCAAUUGAUAUGUGGUCAUUUGGAUGUAUUGUGGCUGAAUUAUUCUUGGGUUUACCUUUAUUCGCUGGAGCAUCAGAGUUUGAUCUCCUCCAGCGGAUGAUAGAGAUUCUUGGUGCACAACCCCCUGAUGAUCUGCUAAGAGAUGCACAAAACACAAAUAACUUUUUUAAACAGGUUGGAGGUAUUUACCGCUUGGAGGAUGAAGUAUAUAAGGACGUUAUACGUGCUUAUUGUGCUUUAACUGCAGAAGAAUAUGAAGCUAAGGAAUGCAAAAAACCUGUAAUAGGGAAGCGUUAUUUCAAUUAUGUGAAUCUUGAAGAUGUGAAGCUUGAAGACGUAAUUGAAAAAUAUCCCUAUAGAAAGAAUUUAGCUGAAGAAGAGGUUACUAAAGAAACCUUAGAACGCUUGAAACUGGUUGAUUUCUUGAGAGGCCUUGUUGAAUUUGAUCCAGCAAAAAGAUGGUCACCUUUGCAGGCUUCAAGGCAUCCAUUUAUCACUGGCGAAGCCCUUACAUGCCCGUACAACCCUCCACCAGAGACCCAACAAAUUCGUGCCAUGCAAACUAUUACAGUGGACCAUCACAAUCCUGGAGGAGGUCAUUGGUUAGCCGCUGGCCUAUCUCCACAGGUUCAAAAUGUGAACAGAUGUUUUGGCCAGAACAGUCCUCAAUUUCAGAUGGUGUCCUUAACCCAUGGUGGUAGUUAUGGUAGCAUGGGAAGUCAUGGAAGCUACAUUGAUAAUUUUGGUAUUGGAAGUAGCUAUGGAAGCUACGGAGAUGCUAAUAAUAAUAUGCAAACAUAUUUCUCACCGGUUGGCCCAUAUGGUAUGAAUGUUCAAGCUCAAGUUGGUUUACCAUUCAUAGGUACUAGUCCGGAUACUCGGCGUAGACCUCAGAGAUGUCAUGGAAGUUUAUUUGGUGUACCUCCUCCUACUGGAAAUCUUGGGCCAAUGUCUGUUGGAGCCAGUCCUUCCCAAUUUACACCACCAUGUUCCCAAAUACAGAUUACAACUGUUUCUCCGGGAAAGUAUGGCUCUUCUCCUGCACGAGGCAGCCUUCAUGGUUCACCCUUGGGAAAGGCCACUGCGGUUGCACAAUUUAAUCGGAGAAGGGCUUGCGGAAACCCUGGUAGUUCAACUAUGCAGUUUCAUGAAAGUGCACCUCAGCAUUGGCAGGGCUAUCACGAGGGAACUGGUAGUAGUCAGCCUGAUACUUAUUCUCAUGUGCAGUUUUCUUCUCGCGGUUCAUAUCCAUCUUCUACUCACUCGUACUGGAGGCAACAAAUGAGUGCUGGCAGGGGAUCAGGCCAACCUAUGAACAGUCACAUUGCCCAUCCUAUUCAUAGCACUGUCAUCUCACCUCCAUCACAUUCCACUGCAGCUUCUGGUGAUAAACAUGAGAGCAGCUCAUUGCUACCUGAUCCUGCAGAUUGGGAUCCCAAUUAUAGUGAUGAUCUUCUUUUGCAAGAGGAUAAUUAUGAUGUGAGUUCAUUAUCUUUGGGAAUGUCUAAUGGCUUGCGGUUGGGUAACAUAAUGGAUCCUGCAACCUUAACAAGUGGAGUAAUCAGAUUAGGCCACAUUUCUAAUCAAGCAUCUACAAGUUCUAGUUCAAGAUUAUCGAACCAAAGAACAGAUGGGCAGUUUCAGACAUACCCACUUGAUGAGAGCAUCCCGCACCUAGCAAAUGAUCUGCAUACAGGUUUCAACCGCCUACCCAAUGUGGCACAAAACUCUCCCAGCCGUUUUAGUCAGCAAUCACAACAAUCGUUUAAUCGGUACAAUAAUUAUGUGCAAUCAACAGCAAUGCAUGGUUUGAGGACACAUCAGAAAAUUCAACCAUCCCGAUCCAAUUAUAAUAUGGUUGAUUCACAUUCUGCCACUAAUAAUAUGUUCAACAAUAGCAUGCAAUGGGUUUAAAGUUCAAAUAUGGUGGUGGUCAGUGGUCGAUAGUGGCAAUAGUGAUCGGUGAUGGCGGCGGCAGUUGGUGGAGACGGGUCAUUGACGACGACGAUGGCCUAUGGAGGAGGCGGGUGGCUAUGGUGGUGGCAGCCCCACAACGGUGAUGGCACUAGUCGAUGGCAGGAGAUGAGGGGGUGGCGGUGGUGAAUGGCGGCCAGCAGCGAUAAGGGCAAAGAGCUGGACAUCCCAUCAUAACCCUCCAGCCAUCUUCGCAUGGAAGGAAAGACUAUGACAGUAUCUCAUAGUGUUGUAGAAUUGUUUUUAAUGUUGCGUUUUUUAUGGAUAUCAGAUUCAUGGCUGGCAGUGAAAAAAUAUGUACUGCAAAAUCCCAUUGCUUGCUUAUAGGUUCUCUGGCAGUUUCAAUCUGUUAGUCAAUUGUGCUUGAUAAAAACAUAUCUGAUUGUUGGUCAUCUAUCGAUCCUCUUUAUUAAGUGUCUAUAGCCAGAUGAUGUUUAGCAUUUGUUCAGUUUCCACGUCAUUUAACUACAUAUAUAUGUCUUUGCUCGUUUGACUUUACCCCAGUGGGAUAUUAUGAUCUGAGGCAAAGACGUGCCUCGUGCGUGCUAGGAGUUUCUUUUUGUUAAUUUUAUUUUUUAUUUUGUGUUUAUCUGUCAUUGAAUCUUAUUGAAUAAGCAAUCAUAAUAUUUAUCUUAGUGGCA